GGUGGCUGCAGUGAGCCAUAAUUAUACCACUGCACUCCAGCCUGGGUGCUGGAAAGAUACAAAAUUAAACAUAUCCUGGUAAAUUGAGGGUGCAGAACUGAGCCCAGGCCACACUACACUAUUCACGCUCUGUGCUUACGCCGAAGGGACAAUGGCGGCUUCCUGUGUUCUGUACACUGGGCAGAAGAUGCCCCUGAUUGGUCUGGGUAUCUGGAAGAGUGAGCCCAGUCAACUAAAAGCAACUGUUAAGUAUACCUUUAGUGUAGGCUACUGCCACAUUGACUGUGCUGCUAUCUAUGGCAGUGAGCCUGAGAUUGGGGAAGCCCUGAAGGAGGACGUAGGACCAGGCAAGGCAGUGCCGUGGGAGGAGCUGUUUGUGACAUCCAAGCUGUGGAACACCAAGCACCACCUAAGGAUGUGGAGCCUGCCCUCCAGAAGACUCUGGCUGACCUCCAGCUCGAAUAUCUGGACCUGUACCUGAUGCACUGGCCUUAUGCCUUCGAGCAGGGAGACAACCCCUUCCCCAAGAAUGCUGAUGGGACUAUAUGCUGUGACUCCACCCACUACAAGGAGCCUUGGAAAACUCUGAAGGCACUGGUGCUAAGGGGCCGGUGCAAGUGCUGGGCCUGUCCAACUUCAACAGCUGGCAGAUUGACAACGUACUCAGUGUGACUUCUGUGCAUCCAGCUGUCUUGCAGGUGGAAUGCUACUCAUACUUGACGCAGAAUGAGCUAAUUGCCAACUGCCAAGCAUGUGGCCUGGAGGUAACUGCUUAUAGCCCUCUGGGCUCCUCUGAUUGUGCAUGAUGAGAUUCUGAUGAGCCUGUCCUGCUGGAGGAAGCAGUAGUCCUGGCAUUGGCGAAAAAGUAUGGCCAAUCUCCAGCUCAGAUCUUGCUCAAGUGGCAGGUCCAGUGGAAAGUGAUCUGCAUCUCCAAAAGUAUCACUCCUUCUUGAAUCCUUCAGAACAUCAAGGUGUUUGACUUCACCUUUAGCCUGGAAGAGAUGAAGCAGCUAAAUGCCCUGAACAAAAAUUGGCAAUAUAUUGUGCCUAUGCUUAUGGUGGAUGGAAAGAGAUUCCCCAGGGAUGCAGGGCAUCCCCUGUACCCCUUUAAUGACCCAUACUGAGACCACGGCUUCUUGGCCUCUCUUCCAGCUCUCCAGUUAAUGAGGUCCUGCCACAAUGGAAAGAGGGAGUUAAUAAAGCCACUGGAGCAUC